GAUGAACGCUGGCGGUAUGCUUAACACAUGCAAGUCGAACGGACUCUUCGGAGUUAGUGGCGGACGGGUGAGUAACGCGUGAGAAUCUGGCUUUGGGUUCGGGACAACCACUGGAAACGGUGGCUAAUACCGGAUGUGCCGAGAGGUAAAAGAGAAAUUGCCUGAAGAUGAGCUCGCGUCUGAUUAGCUAGUUGGUGAGGUAAAGGCUCACCAAGGCAGCGAUCAGUAGCUGGUCUGAGAGGAUGACCAGCCACACUGGGACUGAGACACGGCCCAGACUCCUACGGGAGGCAGCAGUGGGGAAUUUUCCGCAAUGGGCGAAAGCCUGACGGAGCAAUACCGCGUGAGGGAAGAAGGCUCUUGGGUUGUAAACCUCUUUUCUUAGGUAAGAACAAAAUGACGGUACCUAAGGAAUCAGCAUCGGCUAACUCCGUG
rnacentral:rRNA from 1 species